UACGUAGGGGGCAAGCGUUGUCCGGAUUCACUGGGUGUAAAGGGCGCGUAGGCGGGUUAGCAAGUCAGAGGUGAAAUCUCCCGGCUCAACCGGGAAACUGCCUUUGAAACUGUUAAUCUUGAGUGCGGAAGAGAGAGACGGAAGUCCAGGUGUAGCGGUGAAAGGCGUAGAUAGCUGGAGGAACACCGGUUGCGAAGGCGGUCUCUUGGUCCGGAACUGACGCGCAGGCGCGAAAGCGGGGGUCGCAAACAGGAUUCGAUACCACGGGAGUCC
rnacentral:rRNA from 1 species